UCCAGUCGGGCUGGAAGCGAGGGACACAGGACUGACAUGGAAGUGGGCGGAGGUAGGUCACGCGCCGCAACUCCUCACUCACGGCGAUUAAAUCUUCCAGCUUCGCGUGGACGCCGGCCAGCAUCUCUCUGCGCUCCGCCGCGGGCUCCGGGCAAGGAUAUACGGUGGCUCGAAACCUGUGUUCAUACGUUCCAAGGUCACAAGGGGGACGUUACGGCUGAAGAGCAUCCCACGUCUCCUCCUCUGCUAAGCCAUCACUGGCUUUGGUUAGGAAUGAACUUCAUUCAAACCAAAGAACCCGUGGGCUGUUACGUAAAUAAGACGACAGCUUGCAGUCUCUUCUUCUCCCCAGAAUGUAUUAAUGGAAUAAUGUCCUUCCCUACUGAAUAAUUUCUGCUGGAAUGAAACGAUUCCAUAAAAUCAGAAACAACUCA